GGUUUCCUACGCAACGUUCAUCGGCGUAGGGUGAGUCGGCCCCUAAGGCGAGGCAGAAAUGCGUAGCUGAUGGGAAGCAGGUCAAUAUUCCUGCACCGUCGUUAGAUGCGAUGGGGGGACGGAUCGCGGAAGGUUGUCCGGGUGUUGGAAGUCCCGGUCGCUGCAUUGGAGAAGGCGCUUAGGCAAAUCCGGGCGCAGGAUUCAAGGGUGUGGCGCGAGCUCCUUCGGGAGCGAAGCAAUUGGAAGUGGUUCCAAGAAAAGCCUCUAAGCUUCAGUCUAACGAUGACCGUACCGCAAACCGACACAGGUGGGCGAGAUGAGUAUUCUAAGGCGCUUGAGAGAACUCGGGAGAAGGAACUCGGCAAAUUGGUACCGUAACUUCGGGAUAAGGUACGCCCUGGUAGCUUGACUGGCCUGCGCCAGAAGGGUGAAGGGGUUGCAAUAAACUGGUGGCUGCGACUGUUUAAUAAAAACACAGCACUCUGCAAACACGAAAGUGGACGUAUAGGGUGUGACGCCUGCCCGGUGCCGGAAGAUUAAAUGAUGGGGUGCAAGCUCUUGAUUGAAGUCCCGGUAAACGGCGGCCGUAACUAUAACGGUCCUAAGGUAGCGAAAUUCCUUGUCGGGUAAGUUCCGACCUGCACGAAUGGCGUAACGAUGGCCACACUGUCUCCUCCCGAGACUCAGCGAAGUUGAAGUGUUUGUGAUGAUGCAAUCUACCCGCGGCUAGACGGAAAGACCCCAUGAACCUUUACUGUAGCUUUGCAUUGGACUUUGAACCGAUCUGUGUAGGAUAGGUGGGAGGCUAUGAAACCGGAAUGCUAGUUUCGGUGGAGCCGUCCUUGAAAUACCACCCUGGUUUGUUUGAGGUUCUAACCUUGGCCCGUGAUCCGGGUCGGGGACAGUGCAUGGUAGGCAGUUUGACUGGGGCGGUCUCCUCCCAAAGCGUAACGGAGGAGUACGAAGGUACGCUAGGUACGGUCGGAAAUCGUGCUGAUAGUGCAAUGGCAUAAGCGUGCUUAACUGCGAGACCGACAAGUCGAGCAGGUGCGAAAGCAGGUCAUAGUGAUCCGGUGGUUCUGUAUGGAAGGGCCAUCGCUCAACGGAUAAAAGGUACUCUGGGGAUAACAGGCUGAUACCGCCCAAGAGUUCAUAUCGACGGCGGUGUUUGGCACCUCGAUGUCGGCUCAUCUCAUCCUGGGGCUGUAGCCGGUCCCAAGGGUAUGGCUGUUCGCCAUUUAAAGAGGUACGUGAGCUGGGUUUAAAACGUCGUGAGACAGUUUGGUCCCUAUCUGCCGUGGGCGUUGGAAGUUUGAAGGGGGCUGCUCCUAGUACGAGAGGACCGGAGUGGACGAACCUCUGGUGUACCGGUUGUGACGCCAGUCGCAUCGCCGGGUAGCUAUGUUCGGAAGAGAUAACCGCUGAAAGCAUCUAAGCGGGAAACUCGCCUUAAGAUGAGACUUCCCCGGGGACUUGAUCCCCUUGAAGGGUCGUUCGAGACCAGGACGUUGAUAGGUCGGGUGUGUAAGCGCAGUAAUGCGUUCAGCUAACCGAUACUAAUUGCCCGUACGGCUUGAUCCU
rnacentral:rRNA from 4 species